UUAUUAUUAUUUUUUUUUGAAUCAAAGUCAAAGUUUUUAAUUCGCGCAUCAAAUAAAUCUUCGAAAAACAACAAAGAAGACAGACAGCGAAGACAAAUACAACGCAGGUAAACCGACAACCGCCACAAAUCAAGGGAACUGUUUAUAAAAACAAGAAGACUGACAGCUUCAUUUCCAACUCAGAAGAAACUAUAACCUUGUCCAAAAUGUUUGAUCAAUGUCAUGCAUGCUAAUUAAUUAAUGUCUCAGUAUUUUUGAUGUUCACUUUGAAUACAAGCAAAAAAAGAUAAUUACAAUCGGUAAUUAGAUUUGUCCUAAUAUAAAUAAAUAGUAAUUAUUUGCAAAAAAAUAAUUAUAAUAAUUGAGACUUGCACAUCGAAAGCUGCAGGUGCGUCUACCAGCUGCUGUGUCCUUUGGAGAACCUCUACCGAGCAACAUUUAAAUCAACGCCCAAUCAACGGAUAUAAGCCCAGGCAAAACGGAGAAAAACAACAGA